UGUCGUUGGAGAGGAAGUGAGCAACAAGCAAGUGAUAUUCAAGGACUAUUUCACUGGUUUUCCCAAGGAAUCAAACAUGUAUGUGACCACAAGUACCAUAAAAUUGAAGGUUCCAGAGGGCUCCAAUGCUGUUCUUUUGAAGAAUCUGUACUUGUCCAGUGACCCUUAUAUGCGUAUCCUAAUGUAGCGAGUUGUUCCUAAUGGGCUCUCCAAUUACACACCUGGCUCUCCACUAAUCGGUUAUGGAGUAGCUAAAGUUUUGGAUUCUAGGCACCCAGACUUCAAGGUAGGUGACUUAGUUUGGGGACCUAAUACAAGAUGGGAAGAGUAUAGUGUAAUCACGGAAACUAAAAGCUUAAAAAAGAUAAAGCAUAGCAAUGUAUCCCUUUCCUACUAUACAGGCCUUCUUGGUAUGCCUGGUAUGAUUGGUUAUGCUGGUUUCCAUGAAGUUUGUUCUCCUAACAAAGGAGAAUAUGCCUUCGUUUCAACAGCAUCUGGUGCAAUUGGUCAGCUUGUUGGACAAUUUGCAAAAUUGUUUGGUUGUUAUGUUGUUGGAAGUGCUGGAAGUAAAGAAAAGGUAUAUUCUAUUAGGAUAUAUGUA